UGUUAAUGUGUCAGUAUGGGCUCCAGUGCACUGUCUCUCACACUCUUGCUGAUGUCCUUCAUCCACUCUGGACUCACUCAAGAUUUACCCAGAUCUACUCUGACUGUGACUCCAGACAGUCCUGUAUUCACUGGAGAGAGAGUGAUUCUGACGUGUGUGAUUGAGUCUUACAGAGACUGGAGAUGGAGAA